CCUACGGGAGGCUGCAGUGGGGAAUAUUGGACAAUGGGGGCAACCCUGAUCCAGCCAUGCCGCGUGUGUGAAGAAGGCCCUCGGGUUGUAAAGCACUUUCAGUGAGGAAGAACGCCUGGUGGUUAAUACCCAUCAGGAAAGUCAUCACUCACAGAAGAAGCACCGGCUAACUCCGUGCCAGCAGCCGCGGUAAUACGGAGGGUGCGAGCGUUAAUCGGAAUUACUGGGCGUAAAGCGCGCGUAGGUGGCUUGAUAAGCCGGUUGUGAAAGCCCCGGGCUCAACCUGGGAACGGCAUCCGGAACUGUGAAGCUAGAGUGCAGGAGAGGAAGGUAGAAUUCCCGGUGUAGCGGUGAAAUGCGUAGAGAUCGGGAGGAAUACCAGUGGCGAAGGCGGCCUUCUGGACUGACACUGACACUGAGGUGAGAAAGCGUGGGUAGCAAACAGGAUUAGAUACCCGAGUAGUC
rnacentral:rRNA from 1 species